UACGAAGGGGGCUAGCGUUGUUCGGAAUCACUGGGCGUAAAGGGCGCGUAGGCGGUCUGUUGCGUCGGGAGUGAAAUCUUACAGCUUAACUGUGAACUUGCUUUCGAUACGGGCAGACUUGAGGCAUUCAGGGGAGAACAGAAUUCCUGGUGUAGCGGUGAAAUGCGCAGAUAUCAGGAGGAACACCGAUGGCGAAGGCAGGUCUCUGGGCCACUACUGACGCUGAGAAGCGAAAGCAUGGGGAGCGAACAGG
rnacentral:rRNA from 1 species